UGAAGUGCUGUUUGAAAGCCUCCCAACUAGCACAUUUGGUUCCUUGGAAGUUGUGGGAAUGCAGGUUUUUGUUUUCCCAUUGGUUCUGGGAACAAAGCCCUCAGUUUCCUAACUGGUAAAAAGUAUUGUUUUUUAAACAUUCUGAGAACUGAAGUGUGAACUUCACCUGUUCCGGGAACGUUUAUUUUUAGGUUGCAGGGAGGUUCUGAGAACGUUUUACUAUGGUUCCCUGAAAGUUUUCCUGGGUAGUUUUAUUAAUGUUCUAUUAACAGAAAUGAUAGGUUAUUAUAGGUUAGGGUUAUUAGGUUAUUAGGUUAGGUUAUUAGGUUAGGUUAUUAGGUUAGGUUAUUAGGUUAGGUUAUUAGGUUAGGUUAUUAGGUUAUUAGGUUAGGUUAGGGUUAAAUAGGUUAUUAGGUUAGGUUAUUAGGUUAGGUUAUUAGGUUAUUAGGUUAUUAGGUUAGGUUAUUAGGUUAGGUUAUUAGGUUAGGUUAUUAGGUUAGGUUAUUAGGUUAGGUUAUUAGGUUAGGUUAUUAGGUUAGGU
ensembl:lncRNA